rnacentral:misc_RNA from 1 species
GAUGAAGAACGUAGCGAAAUGCGAUAAGUAAUGUGAAUUGCAGAAUUCAGUGAAUCAUCGAAUCUUUGAACGCACAUUGCGCCCCCUGGUAUUCCGGGGGGCAUGCCUGUCCGAGCGUCAUUACAACCCUCAAGCUCAGCUUGGUGUUGGGCCCCGCCGCCCCGGCGGGCCCUAAAGUCAGUGGCGGUGCCGUCCGGCCCCGAGCGUAGUAAUUCUUCUCGCUCUGGAGGUCCGGUCGUGUGCUCGCCAGCAACCCCCAAUUUUUUUCAGGUUGACCUCGGAUCAGGUAGGGAUACCCGCUGAACUUAAGCAUAUCAAUAAGCGGAGGA